AUUGCUAUCAAGCAGGAAAACCAGUCUCCUUUUUUUUUUUUUUUUUUUACUUUAUCAAAUGGUACGAAAUUAUUUUUCUCUCAAACAAAAUUCCUUCGCCUCUAAAGUUUGAUUUUUCGUCCUACGGGCAGAAAGACAUAGCGGCUGCAAAACACGACAUUUAUAUAUGGGAAAAUUUGUGUGCUACAAAUCAAGUUAAAUUACAUUUUAACCAGUUUAUUAUACUUUUUAUUAAACUUCUUCUAAAGGAAAUAUGCUGUUCUUAAAAUACGCCCCUUUUUUAUUAGAUAAGAUUCACAUUUCAAGAAGCAUAUGUGAUGGAAGUUCAAAUCACCUGAUAAAAAGUAUUUCUUCUAUAAUAACUACUAGAAUACAGGAAAACUGUUGCAGUAAAAUAGCUAUUCGAAAUGUGAUAAACCGAAACAGAAAUACAAUAUUAAAUUACGGUAAAUUAUAUUCUCGCUUUAUAAGCAAAGAUCAAAAUUUAUGUUUUGCAGAAAAAAAUCUAAAACGUGUACAGUGCUGUCGUUAUUUUCAUACGUCUGAGCGUCGAAAUGCGCACCCACUUGUAUGGAUUGUUUUUAGACCACUUUUGAAGCUCAUGGCUGUGCUCACUGGAAGAGGUUUUAGGAAAUGGUGGAGAGAUUUACCACCUAACAAGAAGAAAUAUUUCUUGAAUGUGAUAAAGGAAAACAGAAGAAAAAUUGGAAUUACUAUACUUAGUGUCAUCACCCUGUCAGGAAUUUAUUAUAUAACCCACUUAGAAGAAACUCCAAUUACCAAACGAAAACGUUUCAUGGCUUUCAACUCAAAGCAGUUAGAAAAAAUAAAUCAAUUUGAAUUACAGCGCAUAAUGGAAAGUGUUGGGAACCAAAUAUUAUCUCCCUAUCAUCCAGAUGCAAGGCGUGUUCAAACAGUGGUGAACCGAAUUCUAGAUGCUAAUAAGGAUCUAGAAGAAAUGAGGAAAAGGAAAUGGGGAAUAGCUGUGAUUGACAGUCCUGUUGAAAAUGCAUUUGUUUUGCCUGAUAUGUGUUUGUCUUCACUGGAAUGCUGAAACUGUGUACCAAUGAUGAUCAGCUAGGUGCUAUCUUGUCUCAUGAAAUUGCUCACUGCAUUCAAAAUCAUGGGGCAGAAAAUGUGAGCUUCACACAUUUAUUAGAUUUAUU
rnacentral:misc_RNA from 1 species